rnacentral:lncRNA from 1 species
GGAUGCUCCGCCCACAAUACCUAAUUAGCGUCCUUCACCUGUACCAAACACCAUGAGUGCGGUUUGUUCUGAAAGUUGAUAAAUAUGUGGGCAUUACACGACUAUUUUCUCAAAUUUUUAAAGGAAACCGACAUACAGAAUGCCUACUGGAGAAACAUGACUGAAGUGUUGGAAAUAUAAGUCUUGAUAGAGUUGAAGACCCCCAAGAGACAUAAAACACACUGGAACUAAGACCUGCCAUGGGACCAUAUUGAUUAACAGCUUUGACAGCUUCCCAAUCUGAGAGCGCUUCAGAAAUGAGGAUCUCAGGCCUGCUGGAGGUGUAUGAAUCACAGUUUCACGGUCAGAGACUCCAGAUAAACUCAACUAAUGGAUUACUGGACCGGACCUGCCUGAAGACUGACCGCCGGGGUAAAACCGCACCGUCUCUGGACAAGGUGACACAGAGAUUGCCAAGGAUUCCGGCAAAUGAGAUAAAGACGAGAAUGGAGAGGAAAAUUGAGCCGUAUAGUGAGUCUAGGCUCUAGACAAUUACCGAUGGAGGUGUAUCGGCUCUGCGGCCUGGACUUUGGAUGAAAAGGUGGCGAGUGUGGGAGCACGGACCGUAUCGAUUUUUGGUUCAGCACCAGUCAGCCUAAAAAUAGACGUCCGAAAUCCCAAGGUGGUUGGCAAAAGGCCUGAAGUGGAUUGACUGAGCUCCACACAUGAGAUCUGUUGAGGCUGGCAGUGCAAUCCUUCAAUCUGAGAGCCACAGCUGAUGCAUUCAUUAAAGUGAGCUGAUUCUCUUCAUGCAUGAAUAUGAAUGUGUCUGCGCUGUCAGGUCAGCAAUCUAAAGCCAUCAAUGAUACUCUUGCUGGUUUGUUCAACUAAUUGCUAUUGAGCAAGAAGACAUGUGAUGUUCACAUCUCUUGCUGAAUGGGUGAUUUUAUAGGUAUGGGUCAAUUUAUUGGAUAGGGGAAGGAAGCCAGGGAAGUUUGUGUACAAACACUGCAGGUGUGAUUUCAGAAGGGCAGUCUAGUCUUAACCUUAGAUUUCCUUUUCCUAGGUUGUUUACUCAAUUACUC